rnacentral:rRNA from 1 species
UACGUAGGUGGCAAGCGUUGUUCGGAAUUAUUGGGCGUAAAGGGCGCGUAGGCGGUUCGUUAAGUCAGUUGUGAAAGCCCGGAGCUCAACUCCGGAGAGUCGACUGAUACUGGCGGGCUAGAGUACGGAAGAGGUAGCUGGAAUUCCCGGUGUAGCGGUGAAAUGCGCAGAUAUCAGGAAGAACACCUAUGGCGAAAGCAGCUCUCUGGGACGGUACUGACGCUGAGACGCGAAAGCGUGGGGAGCGAACAGG